GAACGGUAACAUUGGUGCUUGCACCAGAUGACGAGUGGCGCACGGGUGCGUAACGCGUAUGCAACCUACCUUUUACUAGAGUAUAGCCCAGAGAAAUUUGGAUUAAUCCUCUAUAACAUCUUUUAAUUUCAUGAUUAAUUGAUUAAAGUUUUAACGGUAAAAGAUGGGCAUGCGUCCUAUUAGUUUGUAGGUGAGGUAACGGCUCACCUAGACUACGAUAGGUAGGGGCCCUGAGAGGGGGAUCC
rnacentral:rRNA from 1 species